rnacentral:misc_RNA from 1 species
GAAGAAGGAAAAGAAAAGAAGGAAAAAGAAGCGCAGCCUGUUAGUUAUUCGUAUACAUUCUUCCACCUGAUAUUUGCCUUGGCCAGCAUGUACUCAGCAAUGCUUCUUUCGGGAUGGACCAACUCAUCCGAAAGCUCUGACCUGAUAGACGUGGGGUGGAUGUCAGUUUGGGUUCGGAUAUGCACUGAAUGGGUCACUGCUGCACUCUAUGUGUGGACCCUUUUAGCCCCAUUGCUUUUCCCUGAUCGUGAGUUCUUCUAGUAUUCUUUAUGACUUCAUAUUUCCAAUGCCCUCAAACUGUUUCCGGAGUUGUUGCAUACCCGUGCG